rnacentral:rRNA from 1 species
GGACCCGCACAAGUAGUGGAGCAUGUGGUUUAAUUCGAAGAUACGCGCAGAACCUUACCAACACUUGACAUGUUCGUCGCGACUCUAAGAGAUUAGAGUUUUCGGUUCGGCCGGACGAAACACAGGUGCUGCAUGGCUGUCGUCAGCUCGUGUCGUGAGAUGUUGGGUUAAGUCCCGCAACGAGCGCAACCCUCACUUUUAGUUGCCAUCAUUAAGUUGGGCACUCUGAAAGAACUGCCAGUGAUAAGCUGGAGGAAGGUGGGGAUGACGUCAAGUCCUCAUGGCCCUUACGUGUUGGGCUACACACGUGCUACAAUGGUAGAGACAGAGGGCAGCCCACCUGGUGACAGGGAG